AUUGAACGCUGGCGGCAGGCCUUACACAUGCAAGUCGAACGAGUGGCGGACGGGUGAGUAAUUUCUGGGAACCUGCCUGGUGGCGGGGGAUAACUACUGGAAACGGUAGCUAAUACCGCAUACCAUCGGAUCUGCCCAUAUUGGAUUAGCUAGUAGGUGGGGUAAAGGCUCACCUAGGCGACGAUCCCUAGCUGGUCUGAGAGGAUGACCAGACACACUGGAACUGAGACACGGUCCAGACUCCUACGGGAGGCAGCAGUGGGGAAUAUUGGAACAUGGGGGAAAGCCUGAUGCAGCCAUGCCGCGUGUAUGAAGAAGGCCUUCGGGUUGUAAAGCACUUUCGGCGAGGAAGCGGUAUCUGCAGAAGAAGCACCGGCUAACUACGUGCCAGCAGCCGCGGUAAUAC
rnacentral:rRNA from 1 species